UCGGGCCCCGCAGUGCGUGCGUGGGAGGUUUCUCUUGGGGCGGAGUGUGUGUUUGGGUGCGCGUGUGCCCGCGAGUGUUUGCGCCGCACGUGUGAGUGUCUGUGUGUGUUUGUACGUGUUGAGUGUGAGUGCGCGUGUGCACACGUGUGGUGUGUGUUUGUGCGUGUGCCCCCGUGUGCGUGUGUGUGCAAGUGCUCGUGUGGCUCAGUGCGGGUGUGUGCGCACACGUGUUUUGUGGAAAUGUGCACACUUCUGUGUUUUGUGUGAGCGUGCAUGGAUUCUUUCCGGUGCCUGUGUAUGUGUGUGUUUGUGCACAUGUAUUUGUGUGAAUGUGUUCUUACAUGUCAGCAUGUGUGCCUCUGACGUGCUUUUGUCUUGCAUGUGUGCGCACACGGGUUUGUUCGCACAACUGUUAAUUCAUGCAGGUGUGUGCGUAUAAGUUGUUGCAUUGAUGUGCAUGUGUGCACAUGUACAUGUUAACACAUGCGUGAGCUGUGUAAAUGCACAAUCUGAAGUGCCGAUGGAGAUAGACAUGGGUGUGUGAGCUGGGAAAUUCUGGCAGCCAGUAACAAAGCCUGGAUCUUUGCAGAAGUCAAGCUGAUAGUCUGAGAGCUUUGUCUGGAUCAAUCCAGACUGAGUUACAGCCUUCCAACAAGUCAGCAGACAGAUGCUAUAUCACUGCAAUGGGCUAUGUGUCAUCUUAACCUUGCCAAAAGAUAAGGCUAUGCAGUGAUUCAUCAAAUGUUUUUCAGAAGAAGCUGCUGUUCUCACACAAUAACUGGCUUCUGUGUCACCCUUCCUUGUUGAACAAAGUCACCAUUAUGCAUGAUGGAGCCCUACUUUCCUGAGAUUCUCCUUGUCCAUUGGAAGUGGGGAACUGAGCUGCCACCUGGGAAAAACCACAAUGAUCUCUUUGUCUGCAAACAGAAUAUCAUGAUGCUGCCCACUGCAGAGCACUGCUGUGAUAGUACAUGGAAUAUUGUGGAAGAUGAAAUACCCUGUUGGUUAGCUGCAUCUAAAGGAAUAUUUGACAUGCUGGGGUUCAGCCAAAGAUCAGACUUGAUGAUCUUAGUGGUAUUUUCCAAUCUUAAUGAGUCCAUGUUUCUAUUAAAUAAAGUAUGAAGAAUUGUCUGUUUGGGAAUAAGAAAAUAUAGAAAGGUAGAUCACUGGAAUUUUCUAGAUAAUGAAUUUUCUCUUUAUUUACCAGAUUAUGGUUCCUUCUCACUGGUGGUUCUUGAAUGAAUGUAUUUUUGUUUUUAAGACUUUAGUAACUUUAUAAAACACAACACUAGCAUGUUCCUCAAUAAUUGAAUAGUCUUAGGAUGCAAAACCCACUGCAGGGCUGUGUAACUAAUUACUUCUGACAUACACAAGAAGCAAAAUAAAAACUUGAGGCCCUAUGUUGCUGUAUAGGUUUUUUUUUUUGCAUAUGAUCAAGGAGAUUAAUACUGAAUCAAUAUCCAUCUUAUUCAUUUACUUAAUUGUUCCAAUUAGAAAUCUAAGGAAGAAUCUUUUUUGAAUCUCUGAAACUCUUCACACAGAAAUGAACUUCAUUCUUCAAAAAGGAAAUUAAUGUAGAGACAUAAGCGUAAAUUCAGUAUAGAAAAACUCACACUGAUGAUAAAAUUGUGAUCAGAAAUACAGUUUUUAGGUGUCAAAAUUUAAGCAAUGGGUUUGUAUAUUGACAGCAAUUACUGCCAGCAGUUUUGAUGAAUAAAAAAUACUAAGUAAAUAACAAAGUAAAUAAUCUUAGCAUGGCAGGUAAAUUGUGUUCACUUUAGAAAAGUACAAUCAAUCAUUGUAUUAUAGCUCACCAGGAGCUUCCUAUCUUCCAUUCCCAUCACAGCAUGAUUUCUGGUGUUAAACACCAAGAAAAUCCAUACUGAAAAUGACACUGUUUCUUAAUCAAUUCACACGGUAUUUGAUGUUAAAUUUAUAUACAUUAAUAAAAAUAAAUAUAUCAAUAAAUUUUAAUAGAUCAUCCAUCUUAAAAAGCAAAGGAAAAAUAUUAAAAAAUGAAAAAUGUGAAGUGAUGAGUCAUUUGGAUAAAGCAGAUAAUUUUAUCAAUUCCAUAAUUUUACUGCAGUGUAUUCUAACAGAGAACUCUUUAAAGAUCAGAAAGGGUAUCUGUAUCAACAGACUUGAGACAAAGUCUCACAUCACUUUUUCAGUGAUGUGGUAAUCAUAAUUUUCUAUUUCAUCCUUUACUACCCAUAAACCAACUAAAAUAUAUCUUAAAGUCACUUGGAUUCUCUGGUUUAAACUUUUUCUAAGGAAGUUUAUUUAUGGCUGGUAAAAAAAAAUAUUGUUUCCUUUUCUGAAGCCUUGUCUUGAUUUCCCCAGUGACCACUGAUAAGAAUGUAUUUCACUUCAGCUCUCAGUUUCUCUUAUGGUGCUUUAGAGAGAGAAAGGUCUCCUGUAUUGAUCUUUGUUUUUUGAAUUUGUGUGUCUUUUAAUUUCUUCUAUGAGGUAAUUUUUGAAGAGCUAAAAAUGGACUGAAUCAUAACUUACUUUUGAUUAUGAUGGGGUUUACUUUUGCAAAUGUUUUACUGCUUUUACUAGUGUUCAUCCAGGAUAAGGCCUAAAUGUGUAAGUAAAAAGGAUCUGCACUGGAUUUGGAGUGAUUUGCCUCUGGCACUGUAGCAAACUCCCUGAGAAAUGAGACUGUGGGUGAUAAAAGGGAAAUAAGUGAAUUAUAGAUGACUAUGCUUUGCAUCCACUAAUGAAAAGAACUGAUAGAGAUAUCAUAUGAGUGAAGAAUUAAGUAGGAGCACUGCUAAGAGGACUUCAUGAGACACCACAGGCAAUACAUACUAUGAGACUAGAGAACAUCAAACUCCCUCCCCUCUGUCUGCCCUGGAGGAUUCCUUUGCUGAAGAUUCAGCUUGUUCUAGUUUACAUGCAAGGUUUCAGAGGAAUCCUAGAACUUCUUUAAUUAACUAGUGCCUCUGUAAACUAAUAAGAUUUGUGUUUUCUGCCUCCUUCAAAUCUGUUUUUCAUGUCUCUGGUUUAGCUCACCUCUCGCUGUAUUCUGUAACAGUGCAUUUCUCAAGAGGAGCUGGAAGUUAGAUCUUCUAACUCAAGUUAGAAGAUCAGCCUCAUAGUUGUGUUCCAGGACAAAGAGACACUAGUAAAGAGUUGUCUUCUUUUCUUCCUGUGUCUUCUUUUCUUCCUGUGAUUCUGGAGGAGUACUUUUCAAGCAUUCCCCUUCUUUGAGUGGAGCAUGAUAAGAUCCAAUCCUUCACCUGGCAUUUCUUGAGUUCCGCAAAAUUCCUACCAACAUAGCUGGUACUACAAAGGGAAGGUGAUGUGCAGGAUUUGGCGGCUCCUUGCCACUUGAAAUACAGCCGAGAGAAAUCCAUGUCAAGUCACAGCCUUUUCUAUAACCAAGAUAGAAAAGUAGCUAUAAAUAAUAAAUAAAAUAAAAUUUAAAAAUAAUAUUCUGAAUUUCUUAAAUUAACCCACUAACUUUGAAAAGUGAAAGACCCUGCAGAACAGAUGUACAGGGGGAAAAUAAAAAUUUUACUCAUUUUAUGCAUUGAUCUUUUAACAUGUUCACCAAGUUAAAAAACAACUUAGAAUCAGUAUAAAUUAAUAUUUUUUUUACACCUGUUGAAGUGACAAAGGCUCCUGAAAAUAAAACUCUUAGAAAUUUCCUGUGAUUUAAUUGCCCUAAAACAUAAACUUAGGAACUUGACUUUAAUAAUAUUUUUUUUUAAAUUAUGUCUUCUUCAUUAAAAAUUUGCAUUAUCAUUUUUUUAUAAUUUGUUGAUUUAGUCCUCUUUUCUGAAUUUUCAAUGUUGUUAUUUUACAGUAUAAAUGAUAGAAAUGUAUGGUGCCCUCUGGAGAAGUCUGGAGAUACAAGCUCUGACUGUAAUAAGAAGUAGAAGGAUAAUUUUUCAUAUAUUUCUGAUUUGGAAGAUUGCAAGUCAUAAUAUGCAUCAAUAAAAUUUGAUGCAUUUUUUUUAAGACUAGAAUCCCAGAAUUCUAAGUUUAUUGUGUACCUUUGUCAAGUAAGUUUGGUUAACAAAAUAAAAGUUGUUACAAUUCAACCUGACAGAAAAAGAAGUCAGACUAAAGUGCUUAGUGAUAUAGAGCAGAUCCACAUCUUUAUUUUAUAUAACGUAGUUUUGAAUUCACAAUAUGCUAAAAGUUAUUAAAAUUGUAUUGUAAAUGUUUAAAUACCCAAAAUAUAGUUGGAGAGAAAUCAAACAAUGUUUUAUGCAAUAAACAAUCAGUUCUUUAUCUGAGUACCUGUUUGUUAUCAAGAGGCAUCUUACUCCUAACUUCUAACUUGUAAUCUUAUGGAAAAAAUAUUCCCAUCACCUGGUUGCUUCUUAUUACUGCACCAUUCAAUUAGAAGGUAUUCAUAAAAUACCUGUCUGGAAGAUGUGUACAUGGUUCAUGAAGUAACUAAUGAAAAAGCAGUAACAUCUUCAGCUUUUAUAAUAUAUAAUAUUAAUAUUGACUAUCAUAUAUCUAGUAUAAUAAUAUAACAUUGAAUGUCAUUUGUGAUAUAAACCAAUCUACACUUAGAGAGCAAAAGAAUAAAUGUUUUAAUUUGGAA